rnacentral:rRNA from 1 species
AUUGAACGCUGGCGGUAUGCUUAACACAUGCAAGUCGGACGGCAGCAUAGUUUGUAGCAAUACGAACUGAUGGCGAGUGGCGGACGGGUGAGAAACGCGUAGGAAUCUGCCUUAUAGAGGGGGACAACUAGAGGAAACUCUAGCUAAUACCGCAUAAAGUCUAAGGACCAAAAGCUGGGGCAACCUGGCGCUAUAAGAGGAGCCUGCGUCCGAUUAGCUAGUUGGUAGGGUAAGAGCCUACCAAGGCGAUGAUCGGUAGCUGGUCUGAGAGGAUGAUCAGCCACACUGGGACUGAGACACGGCCCAGACUCCUACGGGAGGCAGCAGUGGGGAAUAUUGGACAAUGGGGGCAACCCUGAUCCAGCAAUACCGCGUGUGUGAAGAAGGCCUUCGGGUUGUAAAGCACUUUAGGUUGGGAAGAAGGUAAGUUGUUUAAGAGAUGACUUAUUUGACUGUACCAACAGAAUAAGCACCGGCUAACUCUGUGCCAGCCGCCGCGGUAA